AGCAAAGAAAGUAAGCGCGGGAUAAUCUUUGUAAUUCUGUCUUUCAAAAUUUAAAACUAAACACUAAACUGUUAGAUGCCCAUUCGUAUAUUUUUAAACUUUAGAAAAGCUUCUAAGACGCAUUAAAAUCUGAACAUUUGGGGUUUUGAUUGAAUACGGAAGAAAUAAUCUCUGGAUAUUCUACAAAAGUGGCUUUCAAAUGAAGAAAGUGCCAUAAUUAUGUGGAUUUUACUUGGUAUAGUCUAAUGAUAUAGGAAAGAGCCAUAGCGAUUGUUUUCUUGUGCCGUUUCUGAAAAUAUGCAGAAUGAAUACUUAAGUUUCUGGGGUUAAAAUAACCUUGGAUAUCAUUAAACUGCCUCACUCAUACCAGGAAGUUUGCAUUGGAUUCAUCGGAUUUUUCACUCAUUUAAAAGAAAUGCAACCUCACAGAAAUUAUCAACGAAACAAAUCCUGGAGUGAUUAGAGCAGCUCUCUGUAGACUCUUCGGAUGUUUGUUGAAGCAAUGAAACAACGCCUUUACCCAUAUGUGGAGUGACAGCCUUCUCGGCUCUUGGUAAAAAUUGUGUUGAUAACAGCUAUCUGGAUGGCCAGGGGACUUUCUCUCGGUUCCGUACAGAAGUAAUAUCGUUCCAUGUACAUGCUAUCCAUCUGUACCAAUGCUGGAUGCGAGGAAGUAUUCUCUUAGGAUGACAUCAAAGUACAAGAAAUUCAAGCACACAAUGUCGAAAGGUUUUGAAGCAAGUGAUAGCGGCACAACCAAUAAUUUGGAACUUCAAGCGCAAAUUAGAAUUCGGAUCCUAUGGAAUCUGACUAACAGACCAAAGAUUUACUGGAUGAUUUAUGAAGCCUGAGAUAUUAGACUAAUCUUAAUGUGUCAACUUUGUACCAAAAAAAUUACCGGAACUUAAAGAUGACCUGCACAGUGGAUUGAAAGUGAAAGAAAUGGUUAUAAUCCCUUCAUAUUCCAGGAAAGUGGCUUCUAAGUGGCGAGUCUGAAAUACGUGGAUUUCUCAGUCUGAGACUUGCGCAGUUUUCAAGAGAUGAACAGAAAACACGAAUGAGAAUUUCAAUUUUUAGAGUAAUAGCAAGAACUUUAGAGAUAAUGGUAAUUUAAAUUUUCUUAUACCUGAAAGUAUUCUGAAUUCUUCGUGUUUACUCAUGGUGGAACGUCUUAUGAAUCGGAAAAGAGGAAGAAUCCUGCGUUUGAUAUUAGAGCAGCGAAUUCUUCAAAGAAUACAUUAGAGGCCAUUUAACUGAACAACGGCUUAAUACCACUCCUAAUCUUGCAGUGAAUACCAUUUCGGCUGCAGCCGCAAAUUCAAAAUAUGGGAGAUGUCUGGAUUAGCGGAUUCAAAAAUGGUACUGAAGGGAUAUCGGUUAGACACCUUACAACCAUUAUGGGUGCAUUUUUUCUUGGAUAAAAGUGCGUUGUCACCAUCGGCAAUAAGGCUUUCUGCUCCAUGUACAAGCCAUCAAUACUCACCAAUUUCCUUAAGAUAAUUUGAUUCUUCAAAUUAUCAUGAUAUCUACAUGUUUUAAACCAAAUGACCACGGCUCAAGAUGCCAUUUGGAGCCUUAAACCUUGCAAUUCGAAGCCUUUUCAAUGGAACUAUGGAGAUCCAAUUUAUGCAGUUUGCAAAAUUCAUUUUGGCUUCGCCUAAAUUUAUAUUGGUUCCAAAAUAUGAAUACAUAAAUGGUCUGCGCAGUGGAAAUGUGAUUAUGUAUGUAGCCAAAAUUACUUGGAUAUCAAUACAUCUUUGAAAUGUUUUAUUCUAUUCUAAAUGUAAGAUGCUUAAUAUUUAUAUAUUUUCGAACUUUGCAAAGCUUGAAGUGUGCAAAAUAUCUAGAAUUGUCAAAC